GUAGCGGAGUGAGCCAGAGGAGAAAGAGCUUGGGCACACAAGCAGGAACGAUACCGUUUUCGGCUCAAGUUAAGGCACAG
rnacentral:ribozyme from 13 species